UCGGGGAGCCCCCCCUCCCCGCCCGGAUCCGGCCGGGCGCCCCGUGCCGUGGUUGGGCUGCGCGGCGGGCGCUCGCGGGCUCUGCGCGAUUGGAAUAUGGUUGGGGAAAUGGAAACCAAGGAGAAGCCGAAGCCGAGCCCCGAUUACCUGAUGCAGCUGAUGAACGACAAGAAGCUGAUGAGCAGCCUCCCCAACUUCUGCGGGAUCUUCAACCACCUCGAGAGGUUGCUGGACGAAGAAAUUAGCAGAGUACGGAAAGACAUGUAUAACGACACAUUAAAUGGUAGUACGGAGAAGAGAAGUGCAGAAUUACCAGAUGCUGUGGGACCUAUUGUACAGUUACAAGAGAAACUAUAUGUGCCUGUAAAAGAAUAUCCAGAUUUCAAUUUUGUGGGAAGAAUCCUUGGUCCCAGAGGACUAACAGCUAAACAGCUGGAGGCAGAAACAGGAUGCAAGAUAAUGGUCCGAGGAAAGGGCUCAAUGAGGGACAAAAAGAAGGUCUCCUUUAAGAGCAGAGGCAACCUUGAUCCAGCAGUUUUGGAGGUAGAGGAGGAACAAAACAGAGGCAAGCCCAACUGGGAACACCUGAAUGAAGAUUUACAUGUACUAAUCACUGUGGAAGAUGCUCAAAACAGAGCAGAAAUCAAAUUGAAGAGGGCUGUUGAAGAAGUGAAAAAAUUACUGGUACCUGCAGCAGAGGGGGAAGACAGCCUUAAAAAGAUGCAACUAAUGGAACUUGCAAUUCUGAAUGGCACAUACAGAGACGCCAACAUCAAAUCACCAGCCCUUGCCUUUUCUCUUGCAGCGACAGCCCAGGCUCCAAGGAUUAUUACUGGGCCUGCGCCUGUUCUCCCCCCAGCUGCCCUGCGUACUCCUACGCCAGCUGGCCCUACCAUAAUGCCUUUGAUCAGACAGAUACAGACCGCUGUCAUGCCAAACGGAACUCCUCAUCCAACUGCUGCAAUAGUUCCUCAAGGACCUGAAGCUGGUUUAAUUUACACACCCUAUGAGUAUCCCUAUACACUGGCACCAGCGACAUCAAUUCUUGAGUAUCCUAUUGAACCUAGUGGCGUAUUAGGUGCGGUGGCUACUAAAGUUCGAAGGCACGAUAUGCGUGUCCAUCCUUACCAAAGGAUUGUGACCGCAGACCGAGCUGUUCAGCUGCCUUGGCAAUGGUUGCAACUAUAAAUCAUUGAACUGAAAAUAAUAAAUAUUGGAAUCAUCUCACCUUCUACUGAAACACAGACACUUCUUUGAUGCCGCCACCGGCAACUAACCUAUGACCUUCUGACCUCUGAACUCUUCACCCAAUGAUGACCUGACCAUGCCUGCCUGCUGAUCAGUUAACUGGUAAUCGCCUUUGCUUGCCUGUCUUCAGUGCAGCGAGCUGAGGCACUUGUCCGUUCGUCUUACCAUCUAACAAAAAAGACAAAGAAAUUAUUGUCCUCCAACUCAGCUUUUUUUUCCUGUUUGGGUGAAAGUGGUUCUAGAACCUGCACUGAAUAGUAGUAAAGCAAUAAGGUCCAAUUCAUCCCUCAGCACUGAUCAUCCUUUAGUGUCCCACCCUAAACGAACGGUAAGAAGGCCUCACUUAAGUGAUGGAGACAGAUGUCCCUUAACUACCCGAUGACAGAGGCAGUUACUGUGAGCGACUUCUAGGAAUCUUUUUCUUCUCAUAAUGAAGUCAAAGCUCUCUUUGAAUGUACUGUGUGAUGAUGCAUCAUGCAUGAACCUUUGGUCAGGGAUGUCAUUGGUGAAGGGAUUCCAAAAAGUAUUCAAAAUUUGACUUGCUGUUUAGUCACUACCAGUGCCCUCAAAGGGCAAAAGUUGCAGCCUUUUUUCUAUUGCCUGCCAAAUUGGAUGUUUUAAAAGAACGUGUGCCAUGAAAGAUAGAUUUCAGUGAAUUUUCAGAACUAUGUUAAUGCAAAGAACAAAACAGCAACACUAUGAAAGCAAAAUCUGAGUUAAGAUUACUUUAACCAUAUUUAAACUUUCUUAAAAGAUUACAUGAGAACAAGGUACAUGCAUUAUGUGUCACAUUACUGGGCAAACUGUUCAAAUAUUUUUUUUUAAACCUCCCUGUAUAGAAAAAUUUCAUUAAGGAUGUAAAAGCCAUGCUUGCCUAUUUGCUGUAUACAUGUAAUGAAAUUGUAGAUAAAGUGUAGUGCAUUGAAACAAAAUGAACAAAAAAGUAGAUACUUUUACUAUACAAGGGUGCUGGUGCAGAAAAAAUAUAUUUUUGGAAAUGUAGCAUUUUAUACUUUCAAGUGUUAUAAAAAAAAGAAAAAAAGAACAAAGAAACAACCCUUUAUUUCAUUAAAUGAUUUUUUCUGGUGGUUGUCAAGAAACAAAAGACCAAAAGAGCCUUUUUGUCUUUCUUUUUUAUUUUUUAAGUAUUGGAAUAAGUCUAAAGAAAAGGAAGUGCCUUAUUUUCUUCAUGGUCAUUUAGUCAAAUGUCUCAUAUAAUCAGCUCCUCCCUCAGACAACAAGUUAAUGCAUGCCACUUAGUCGCCCAGUAUGUGAAAAGAAGCUGGGAAAGGAAGACAAAUGAGUUGACCAUUUGAAAUACCUGAUUUUUGCCAUAGUAGCAUGAUGCAACUUUGCCAAAUCUUAUAAUGUGAAACGUUUGAUAAUUUUUCUAUCAAAUGCUGGCCCCCAUUAGUCUUGCAACAUUUUCACCAUCUCAAACCAUAGUUAACAUAUUUUGUUUCAUGUACUUGCUCAAUCUAAACCAAAGGGUUCUGACUCAUUCUAAAUCAGAGCAUUAGCUGACACAUGUUUAUAGGGCAGCAAGUGCUCCAUUUUGUUCAGGGGAUGGCGUGGAGUUGUCUUGAUUUGAAAUAUUGACAAGUAUAGCAGACCUUGUACUUGUCCACAGAAUAAAGUUUGGUGGAUAAUGAAAUUGAACAUGUUUAACUAAUUUUAAGUCUGACCUAAGCAUGUUCCAGUAUUUUGUAAGCAGCUCCCACAGUGUCAAAUAGUGUAUAAGAUAUUCAAUUCUCAUAAUAUUGAUUGUUGCUUUUUAUUCAAAAGAAAAGCAGGAAAGAUUCAUCGACUAACUAUUUAAAAAUUCAUCUAUAGUUCAGUAUUAUCUUUUAGCGCCACAUGAAAUUCAUGUAGCUAGACCAGCAUAAGAGCUGAGAAGCUUUUUUGAAUAGUGUUGAAUUCUGAAAAUAUUGAGCAAGUAUCAGUUUGCUAAUGGCUCAGUAUUAGACUUGGCAAAUAUCAGGUGAUAAUUUAUUUCCCCUCUUGUCAACUUAUUCUCCUCCUGCAAACCUUCAUAGCUUCCAAAUCAAAGGUCAAUAGUAAGCUAAGAAAGAGGGCUUACGGUUUAAGCACCUGUUUGGUGACCUCAUCUAGCAUCUUGUCUCACCUGGAAACAAUUAUCAGUUUAUUUACUAUGCAAUAGACAUUCAUCCUUUUGUAUUCAGCUAGCUUUUGUUUAUCGUGCCACCAGCUUUGUCUUCCUGUUACACAUACAGUUGUUUUGACUUAAUUUACAGUAUAUAUGCUGUGCCAUUUUGAUUUUUGUUUGUUUGGUUGAAUAAACCUGCGACACUCAAACAUUUGAGAAGAGAUUUGCUAAAACAAUACCAGUAUUUGAUCCAGAUUCAUCUCAACUAUGAUAAACCUGGACAUUUUUAGAUGUUUAUCAAAUGGGGGAAAGUUACGUGUAUGAAAUAGAAGUGUGACAUGUAAUAGUAAUGUUUGCUCUGAAUGAACAAACUUUUGAAAACAUAGUUGACAAAAUUUUGGAUCAACUUAAAAAAAAGCAUGACUUUUGAAAUCUCUGAAUGCCUUGGUUCUCAGUAUUAUAAUUCUUUAUUGAAUUUUUCUUUAUUAAAAUAUGUAGUUUUAAGACUUCUUUCUGACAGUAUUAUGUAAUUUUUUUAGAGUGGGUAGAUGGGAGUGUCGCUUGUAUGUAACAGUACAGAUGACAUGUAUUUGUCUAUUCUUUAUUAUCUUAGUAGUUUCAUGCUGUGUAUGUAUCAUAACCAACCUAUUGCCUAUGAGAAACAUGUAAGAUAAUGUAUUUACAGCCAUUGUUACAAGUUUAUAAUGUAUUUUUCUAUCUUGUUUUAUAUGUAUGUUAUAUAAAACAUUCAAUUUUUUUCCUGAUUGAGAAAAAAAGGAUACAAAAAUGCAAAACCCACAAUUUUGAUAACUGAAAAUUGCCAAUUGUUUUGCAGUACUUUAUUAUAUUGGGAGUGUUGUCUUUCUUGGGCUUUUAGUUAGCUACUGGAUGAAUACAUUAGACAUAUUUGGGUUUUAGUUGGGUUUUUACAUAGCUUGCAUUUUAAUUCUUUGGUUCUUUGCUGUUUCUAUUAACCCAUAGCAUUAUUUUAAUAAAUGUUAUAAUACCAACCUACUAACUCUGGACUAUGUCUGUUUAUUAACCAUUACAUGUUUAAUUAAAAUAAACAAACAAAGACGGAAGAAUGUAAAGUCUUGAGUUACUGGACUAACCCUGAAGAACGUGACCACAGAUAACACAUGACUUGUAUUUAUGUUGUUUGUCGGCUGACAUUCUGCACACUACUAUUAAAUUGGCUUUUGGUCAUUCUGGCCUUUGCCUUGGGGGGGGUAGGUGGAGUAGAGAUGGGAACAAAGUAGCAUUAUUUGAAGCAUUCUUCUUGUAGUCUUGCCACUUGCCUUUCAGCAUCUGCAUUACUAAUUCCACACAUUACUUUUUCUUUCUCUAAAAUAAUCACUGUCAGCUCACAGCAAAAGAGCAAAGAUGCCAGUAUAUUGGUAAAUCAUGUGAUGGUGUACCCAGAGAAACCAGUUUGAUUCUUUGUUGAACCAUUUUGAUGUCACAGUAAAUCUCAUUGAAAUUUGCCAUUCUUUAUUUAAAGCACCUGAUUCAGUGUCACAUCUUGUGAUUCUCUUCUAUUUUGUAUAAGCACACAUUAUUACUGAACUAUAUUUUUUGUGUAUCUGAAGCAAGGAACUGGCUUUUUUCUAGGAUGUCACAAAGAUUUUCCUACAGCUUGCUUUAUUUCCUACUUGACAUACUAUUUAUGUAAAUUUUUUUUGUACGUCUGUAGUCUGUCAUUAUCACCUAGCUCAGGGGAGUACAACUUCUGAAAAGCCAAAGAUCAAGCUGGAUCAUUUCCUAAUGACUACAGAAAGUACAAAAUACUAAACCUGUGGCACUAUAUUACUGAGAAAUAGCCAUUUCAAAUACCAAGGCUCUUUACCUGUGAUCUCUAUCCCUGUGGAUGACCGUAGCAACACAAAUGCAGGGCAUGUAAAUGGUGGAAACACGGUAGUAAAUAUGUUUUUGUUUUUGAGCUUCGAUGCAAAUGACUUUUACAGAGAAACUUCAUAUUUAAAAUUUUCUAUUAUUUGAAGUUUUGUUUGUAGCCUGGUUAGGCCUACCAGAUUUUUGCUUAAAUGUACAGUAAUUACCAGCUAUUCCCUUCGGAGACCCUUGAUGCACAUCACUUAUUUCCCUGAUAUUGACAGUUUACUUUUCUGUGAACUAGCAAUCUACUUGCCUGGGAAUAAAAAUUCAGAUGAGAAAUCGGCAUCUGUUCAAAACUGGGUUUUUUCCAUUUGUUGUCAUAAGCUUUAAUUUACAGAUUUCAGAAUCCUUGUAAUAAAGUUUUUAUUUUAAAAAGUGGAAAGUUCUCCCAAUUUUUUUAAGUUAAUUUUAUGUAGAAAAAUUGGGCCGAGCACUAAUUAAUAAGUAGUUUGUGCAUUAAUUCGUUAGGCAUGUUGAUAUACAACUAGAUUUUUUAAAUACCCGUUUAAACAUCUAGUUUAAUUUACAGAACUGUACAGAUGCAACUGUAAAAUAGAGAAAAUUGAUAGGUCUAGAACAAGUUACACAUGUACAAAAAAAAGUUUUUUGGGGGGGCCAUUUCACUGCUUAUACUAUGAAUGUAUUGCUAUCCAAAAAUUCAAUGAGACAGUGUAAAAAGAAAAUAACUCAUAGUGAAUAAAAUCAGAACUUUAUGAUUCAAGUAAUGUGACAUUACAACUAUGAAUUUGGAGUUGUACAGAAAAUGCUCAAAACGUUUGAGACAGGACAAGUGUUUAAACUUUGAGAUGUCUACAAAUUUGAUUAAAACUUCCUGGGUGGGACUAGACAUUGUUACGGUUUUGGGAUAGCAAAAUAUCUUCUAGGGGCAAUUAGUUGGAUGCUUACGAUACAACUUUAUGAUCUUCAUUAUCUUUUAUUAUCCAUGAACUACUGUCAUAGUUUGCCCACAGUGGGCAUUUUCAUCUCAUUGUCAAUUAUACAUAGUAAUGAACAUUUGCCCAGAAGAGAAGUGGGUUAUUGUUGUUUUUUAAACUGAAGGAAAACAAUAAGCCUUAAAAGCAAAAUAACUCUUUUUACACAAAUUAAUGUUACUAUUGAACAUAAGUGCAGAUCUCAAUGUCCAUAGCUAAGUGCUUAACUAAAAAUCUUGUCAACUAUAAAAAGGCAACAAUUUAAGAUGAAUUUCUGGCGCUUGAGCUUGAUAACUUCAGUGUUACUCUAUUGUUAAAGUUUUUUGUGUUUUUUAAUUCUGGAAGGGUAAAAUGUCUUUCAGAUUUUAUAAAAGGCAUGUAUUCAAGCAAACCUACAGCACUGCAGUUCCUUCCAGCAAAAUGGAGUCAAUUUAAAUAAGUAUAUUUUUAUUUACAUUUAAUUUACAAUUUUAUGCAAAUAUAAACAGAAGUACAACAAAACCCUUUUAAAUAAAUACUGGAUGAAGCAAUAUUCUUUUAAAAAAGCACUUCAGAAAAUCAGCCUCUUGGAGAAUAAUCAUACUGUGCAUCAAACCAAAAUACGUUUCAUAGAGAGUCCCCAAAGACUUUAAGUAUCUUUUGUGCAGAUAUUUAACCAGUUUUAGAUUACUAAUCAGUAUUUACUAAUAUACUAUUUGAACAGAUCUUUUAACAAGUUUGUGUAAAAAUCCACUUAUACAUAAUAUAACAAGCUAAAAUUGCUUUAUUUCCAAUCACACCCUUUAAUCUAUGGGGACCACUGAAAAGUUUUCUGCACUGCAAAAUGCUGUAGGAAAUGCACACUAAAGUAUGUUGCUAUCCAAUAAAAAAGAAUGCAGAAAAAUAUAACUCUUUUUGAAACUUUUUUAUGUAUCUGGAUAAUUAAACGGGCACUCUAAAUGGCACAUUACACAAUAAAGUCCUUGUAACGCUUUUUACAAACAUUCCUGAAGUGCAAGUGUGUAAUUGUACUUAGAAUGCCUAGUUUAUUUUUAAUAGAUCUUUGAUAUAGAGAGAUGUUUUGUGAAAUAAUAUAUUAAUGGUAUACUGUUUUUUCAACUAAGCAUAUGAACCAUUACACUGACAUGGUAAUCAAUGUUGAAUCAAACUGGUUAACUUAAGCACAUUGGUCUCCUUCCUAUGUGCCUGCUUACUGAUUGCAGGUGGUAUAGUUCCGCAUUGGAGGUGGGUGUCAUGCGCAGCAGAUGGUUACUUGCUCUAUUAGCUUCUUGGUGCCAGCAGUUUGGGUGUCCGUUGUUGACAACAGACUGCACUGGGAGAAAUUUGACUCCCAGGGCGAAAAUUAAUUUGCAUCUAAAAAACUAUUAGAGAAGAGUUAAUAGAAUAUAUAUCCUUUUUGACUUCUAUUGUGGCAGUUUGUGUGAAACAUUUAACAUUUUGUUUGUACAAAAUAAUGUAUUUUGAGGGGGGGAAAUAGACCUUGCCAAAACACAUGUAAAUAAAAACACCAAGUAUGACUGUACAUGAUGUGCAAUAAAAUAACUGGAAAAAGUGCAUGUACUUUAUCAAAAGCCGAUUGGAAGCUAUCAAUGCUGCAACUAUAGUUUUAUUUUCUGAAAAGUCACAUUUUAUUCUGUAUUUAAACAGCAGAAUAAAGAAUCUGCAUUUUUCACA